rnacentral:rRNA from 1 species
UACAGAGGGGGCAAGCGUUGUUCGGAAUUACUGGGCGUAAAGGGCGCGUAGGCGGCCUGGUCAGUCGGAUGUGAAAGCCCGGGGCUCAACCCCGGAACGGCAUCCGAGACGGCCAGGCUGGAGACCGGGAGAGGAGAGUGGAAUAGCCAGUGUAGAGGUGAAAUUCGUAGAUAUUGGCUGGAACACCGGUGGCGAAAGCGGCUCUCUGGCCCGGUUCUGACGCUGAGGCGCGAAAGCGUGGGGAGCAAACAGG